UAGAAAUAUAUGCCUGUUUUGUAUAUAUGUCUAUCGACAUAUUCUAAAAUCAAUUACAUAUUUAUGCUUUUAGACAUUUACAGCCAAACUAAAUAUAUACAUAUAAUCAUAAAAGUGCAUUUUUUCAAACAAGUAGAAUAUAUCAAAGUCAAUUCAGACAAGCCAUAUGUUGUAACUUAUUUUCACAACCAUGCCUAAAAGAGAAAAUGAGUCACCAAGUUCAGUUCUGGCCGAUUUCUUAGAAAUAUUUUCUUUUUCAUGUCAAAACCAUGAAAGUUAAAAAAAGAAAGAAAGAAAGAAAGAAAAAGAGAGAAAAGAAAGAAUUAUGUGAGUGAAAUCUCAUUUAACCUCAAGUCAACUGAAAGAGUGGAACCAAGAGGCAAUAAAAUAGAGGCGCCCAGCACCAGGAAAUCAACCUGCUAUAAAGGGCGACACAUGCCACUUUUUUCCUCCCGGUGGCAGAUGCCACACCCUAAAAGCAGACAGAAGGCACAGCAGCCUGCAGGAGUGCAGGAGCACAAAGCCUGCAGGACUUGGUUUUGUCUUUCCACAGAGAAUGCUAAACUGUCUUUUAAAAUACGUCUUUGCUGAAGAUAAAUCAUGGACUCCUCUACAUUCAAGUUCCCAGCACACCUCCUUGGGAAAGCAUAACAAAAGUAUCUUAAAGUUUCCGGGAACACCCCCCUCCCCCCCCCCCCACCCCGUGCUUGAUAAGGAAAAUGGCACUUGCUGGGGUUUGUUAUAAAAUAAUGAAACAAGCUCACCAUUCAGCAAAGUGCAGUCUCAACCCUAGUUUAUUUCCCUGGCCUGGCCCAUCCUGUGUGGCAGCUCAGCCUUGACUCUUUUGGUGCAAAGGAGCAAUAGAAAUCUCCGCCAUGGGUUUGUCUUAAUGAGUCCCUUAAUCUUACACCUCUUGUGCCUAAAUUUCAAGCCCUAAUGACACUUGUGUUUUUGCUGUCACCACAAGGAAGCCUUGGGGGUGGCAAGCUGCUGGUGGCCUUGACCGAGUUGUAGUCCUCAGCCAACCUCCCACCCACGGUUCUCCCCAGCCCUUCGUGUGUAGCCAGAGGAUUACCCAUUAUUUUGUUAAACAUGCCUUUCUAUUACAAAAGGUUUUCUCUGUCCCCCUCUGACUAUAUGGAAAUAUUAAUAUUCAAAUACCGCGUCUUUUGAAUAAGUUUUAGGGCGCUGAAUGAAAGGCCCUUCAACUUGCCCACUGAACGAGAAUUGAGCCAGAUGGUAGUUUUAAGAACCCCACAGUUUUGUUCCUUUUGCCUCUCCAAUGCCCGUCGCACUGUUUGCUCUCAGAUUAGCCCGUUUUACUGUUCUCCUUAUUUACUCGGUGACUGAAGCAAUCACGAUUCACUGCCCGUCAUAUUUCUCAGUAUUCUCUCUGUAAUUUGGAAGCAAUUUGGAAUAAAGCCCUGUCAAGGUUUUACAAAUAAGAACUAUUAAAGAAUAAGGCUUUGGAUACUUGCUUUCCUUUUAGAUUUAUGAGAGAUGCGGUGAAUGGGGCUAAUGGGAUUUCCCUACUGAUCUUGGUCAGGGACUUUAAAAAGCACUAAACAAUUGUCCUAUUCACAUCCCAGAUUUAGACGUUAGCAAUGAAUAACUCUGAGUCGGCGCAGGAUAUGGGCUCUACAGCGGUUGGAUUGGAAACAGUUAUGCAAAUCAUCACUGGCCUGUAAGUUCAGAAUGCUAAACAAUUAGGUAGUGGAAGGGGGGAAUUGAGAGGGACAGACAGGAAUAGGCAACAAAUAUUUUAAAACAAUUUGGCCAACAGCAGCAGCAUUAUAUUUGUUGAAGAGAUUAAAGCAGGCACAGUAACCAGUGUGGGGAUAAGUUAUACCUGAUUGUCCAACGGACUUGGAAUCUAGUUCAGGCAGCAUCCAGAAAAGAAAACCUUGUUACCUGAGCCCAGUCCUGAAUAGGGAUCAACUAUGAACAUUUGCACCCAAACCCUUUCAUGUUCUAGGCGACUUGACCACUGAAGAACUGAGUUCAGAUUUCCUCACCCGAGGGCACCUAACUCAGCUGUUCAUGGCUGGCAGCCCCUACCAGGGAUCUACACAGCUCCUCGGACACUAAGACCACCAGCUUAUCAUUAGGCCAGUACAGUGUGUCUCCAAAGACCCUGAGAACACAGUGUUGGCCGUGAACCAUACGAAGGAGUACUGGCAAAUGCCUAUGGCCCCAACUGCUGAGGAGGCUGAAGCCAAAGGAUCACAAGUUUGAAGCAACUUCAGUAAGACCCUGUCCAAAAGAUUUAAAAAGCCUGGCGAUAAUAGCUCAAUGGUAGAGUGCUCUCCUACCGUGUUCAAGGCCGUGGGUUCAAGCCCCAUCACUGGAAAAGCAGUGUGUGUGUUCUUCCGUUGAUCGUUACUGUCAUUCAAAUGCUUCCCAUCACCAGUGAGAUGCCGCUUGUCUUGAAUCACUUUAUAAAUCACUGUAACUCCUCAAAAAUAAAUACUUGGCUAGUAAACAUAUUUGAUAUAAUGCAUAAUAACCACUUAUACAAGAGAGUCAUUCGGGAGUCCAAUCAACUCCAUUUCUGUCACUUAAUCUGAGGGCUUUCCCGGUCUUUUUCACAGAUGUGAAUAAUUGCUUUAUAGUACAUAUGGACCAUGAAAAUAAAGCCAGUUUUCAAGCCAUUCCUUUCAAAAAUGAAUUCCAAAUGGGCUAUAUGCACUAAUGCGGUGCGUUCCUCGUUUUCAAUGUGAAUACACUUGCUUCCGGCCUCGUCCCAUUGUGAAAGCCAAUGGUCACCUUUACAGGAUGCGUUAGUGACAGGCUCCCGGUUGUACUGGUAUGUGCCGAGGGACUUAGUCCUACCUUUCUCUUACAGAAAGUGACAUAAUUUCACUGAGGAAUUUCCUUCUUGGUGCAUAUCCCCCAAAAAUGUAUGUUGUUAAUUACAAGGAAUUGUUUCUUCACAAAACUUAAAAGUAUUUCUCAUUGUACCAUCUUAUUCUAAGAUGUAAAAUUCUGUGACCUCUCUCUUGUAUCUUCAGAUGAGUCUUUAAAAAGAAAAUAAAUUUCCUUUCCUUUUAA